GACUCAGUGGUGUGGCGGUAACACUCCAGCUUGUAUUAUGUUGUUCAAGUGAUGGUUAAGCUGGCGAUCCCUGUUCGACUCUGGGCUACGUCA